GACGGGGGCCCGCACAAGCAGCGGAGCAUGUGGUUUAAUUCGACGCAACGCGAAGAACCUUACCAGGUCUUGACAUCCAGGUAAAGCGGUAGAGAUACCGUGUGUGCUUGCACAAUCUGAGACAGGUGGUGCAUGGUUGUCGUCAGCUCGUGUCGUGAGAUGUUGGGUUAAGUCCCGCAACGAGCGCAACCCUUGUUUUCAGUUGCUAACGAGUAAAGUCGAGCACUCUGAAGAGACUGCCGGGGACAACUCGGAGGAAGGUGGGGACGACGUCAAAUCAUCAUGCCCCUUAUGACCUGGGCUACACACGUGCUACAAUGGCCACCACAGAGAGGGGCGAAAGCGUAAGCUGGAGCGGAUCUCAAAAAAGUGGUCCCAGUUCGGAUUGUGGGCUGCAACCCGCCCACAUGAAGUCGGAGUUGCUAGUAAUCGCGGAUCAGCAUGCCGCGGUGAAUACGUUCCCGGGCCUUGUACACACCGCCCGUCACACCAUGGGAGUUGGGAGUGCCCAAAGUCGGUGAGGUAACCGCAAGGAGCCAGCCGCCUAAGGCAAGACCGGAUGACUGG
rnacentral:rRNA from 1 species